rnacentral:rRNA from 1 species
ACUCAAAUGAAUUGACGGGGACCCGCACAAGCAGUGGAGCAUGUGGUUUAAUUCGAUGCAACGCGAAGAACCUUACCCAGGCUUGACAUGCAGAGGAAUGAUACAGAGAUGUAUCCGCUCUUCGGAGCCUCUGCACAGGUGCUGCAUGGCUGUCGUCAGCUCGUGCCGUGAGGUGUUGGGUUAAGUCCCGCAACGAGCGCAACCCUUAUCAUUAGUUGCCAACAUUUAAGGUGGGAACUCUAAUGAGACUGCCUGGGUUAACCAGGAGGAAGGUGAGGAUGACGUCAAGUCCGCAUGGCCCUUAUGUCUGGGGCUACACACGUGCUACAAUGGUCGGUACAGAAGGCAGCGAAACCGCAAGGUGAAGCAAAUCCCCAAAGCCGAUCCCAGUUCAGAUUGUAGUCUGCAACUCGACUACAUGAAGCCGGAAUUGCUAGUAAUGGCGUGUCAGCAACAACGCCGUGAAUACGUUCCCGGGUCUUGCACACACCGCCCGU